rnacentral:lncRNA from 1 species
UCACGCUUUAUUAUUACAACUGCUAUUACUGUUGUAACUAUUAUCAUAAUUAUUAUUAUGCUAUUUACUUUGUUUUAUCAUUUAUUUUUGCAGAAAAAUACAAGAAGAUAUGAGUCGGGAAAUAAAAGACCUCAAAAAUGAGCUGUAUGAGUGCAAAAGUAAAUUAUACACCACGAACAAAGCUAGAGUUUAUAAUGAAACAAAUGUUAUUAAUUAUGACAAAAAAGAUUGGAAUUUUUGUUAUAGUAAGUGAUAAAACCAAUAUUAUAUACAAAAAAAAAUAAAAUAAAUAACAAAAUAAAUAAUAAAAAAAUAACGCUUAACAAAAACUCUAUUGUUUUUUUUUUUUUUUUUUUUUAAGAAAAUGAAAUAGACAAGGAGGGAUUAACACAAAAUAAUGGGCAAGUUGACCAGGAAGAAAUUACAAAUAAAUUUGAAAUAACAGAAAAAAUAAGUUCUAUUGAAAAGCAAUUGAUGUUGUUAAAAUUAGAGAAAACUAGCAAGGAAUCUGAAUUAAUAAGAUGUCCUAAAUAUGGUAGAAGAAAUGAAGAAAUAAAAAAAAAAGAAUUUCUAGAGAAGAAGCUAAAAUAUCUUGAUGAUAAAAUAAAUUACCUUAACAAAAAUUUAAAAUACAUAAAAUUGUAAUACAGCGACUAAGUUAAUAUCUGAAUGCAUAUAUAUAUAUUUUACACAAAUAUAUACAAAAUGAUACAUUAAAAGUGUUGUAAAAAAAAAAAAAAAAAAAAAAAGACAAUUAUUUAUUUUGCUUCGAUAUAUCAUUAUAACCUUUAUAUCGUUAUAUCGCUAUUUCGCUAAUUCAUCUUUUCGCUACUUCAUCUUUUCGCUACUUCAUCUUUUCGCUACUUCAUCUUUUCGCUACUUCAUCUUUUCGCUACUUCAUCUUUUCGCUACUUCUUUUUUUUUGAUUUUUUUGCAUUCCCUUUGCUUCAAGUAACUUUUAUUUGUAUUUGUUUAAGUUAACAUUUAUACAAGUUUUUUCCUUUAGCAUUUUAACUAUUUUUCUUCCCUUGCUUUAUAUUUUUAAACAAUAUGCCAGGAAAAGAAAGUAAUAAACACAUACAUAUACAUAUAUUCA